AUUGAACGCUGGCGGCAGGCCUAACACAUGCAAGUCGAGCGAGCGGCGGACGGGUGUGUAAUGUAUGGGGACUGCCCGAUAGAGGGGGAUCACUACUGGAAACGGUGGCUAAUACCGCCUACUAUCGGAUUACCCAUAUGGGAUUAGCUAGUAGGUGGGGUAAAGGCUCACCUAGGCGACAAUCUCUAGCUGGUCUGAGCGGAUGGUCAGCGACACUGGGCAUGAGGCACGGCCCAAAUUCCUACGGAGGCGGCAGUGGGGGAAAUUGCACAAUGAGCACAAGCCUAAUGCAACCAUGCCGAGUGUAUGAAGAGGGCAUUAGGGUUGUAAAGUACUUUCAGCGGGGAGGCGUUACCCGCAGAAGAAGCACCGGCUAACUCCGUGCCAGCGACCGCGGUAAUAC
rnacentral:rRNA from 1 species